rnacentral:rRNA from 1 species
GACGAACGCUGGCGGCGUGCUUAACACAUGCAAGUCGAGCGGAAAGGCCCUUCGGGGUACUCGAGCGGCGAACGGGUGAGUAACACGUGAGUAAUCUGCCCCAUGCUUCGGGCUAGCCAGCCGAAAGGCUGAUUAAUACCGGAUAUGACAUCUCCUGGCAUCGGGGGUUGUGUAAAGUCUUUUCGGCGUUGGAUGUGCUCGCGGUAUCUCAGCUUGUUGGUGGGGUAAUGGCCUACCAAGGCUUCGACGGGUAGGCGGUCUGAGAGGGUGAACGGCCACACUGGGACUGAGACACGGACCAGACUCCUACGGGAGGCAGCAGUGGGGAAUAUUGGAGAAUGGGCGGAAGCCUGAUCCAGCAACGCCGCGUGAGGGAUGACGGCCUUCGGGUUGUAAACCUCUUUCAGCACAGACGAAGUUUUGCCUUUUUGGGCAAAGUGACGGUAUGUGCAGAAGAAGGACCGGCCGACUACGUGCCAGCAGCCGCCGUAAGAC